GUGCCAGCAGCCGCGGUAAUACGUAGGGGGCGAGCGUUACCCGGAAUUACUGGGCGUAAAGGGUGCGUAGGCGGCCGUCUGUGUCUGGCGUUAAAAUCCACGGCUCAACUGUGGGUAUGCGCUGGAAACUGCACGGCUUGGUUGCAGCAGAGGCAGACGGAACUGCUGUUGUAGGGUUGAAAUCCGUAGAUAUCAGCAGGAACCCCGGUGAAGAAGUCGGUCCUCCUGGUCUGUACCGACGCUGAGGCACGAAAGCUAGGGGACCAAACCGGAUUAGAUACCCGGGUAGUCC
rnacentral:rRNA from 1 species